ACGGGAGGCAGCAGUGGGGGAUAUUGCACAAUGGGGGAAACCCUGAUGCAGCAACGCCGCGUGAGGGAAGACGGUUUUCGGAUUGUAAACCUCUGUUACCGGUGACGAAAGAAGACGGUAGCCGGUAAGGAAGCUCCGGCUAACUACGUGCCAGCAGCCGCGGUAAUACGUAGGGAGCGAGCGUUGUCCGGAAUUACUGGGUGUAAAGGGUGCGUAGGCGGGUAAUCAAGUCAGGCGUGAAAACUAUGGGCUUAACUCAUAGACUGCGCUUGAAACUGAAUAUCUUGAGUGAAGUAGAGGUAAGCGGAAUUCCCGGUGUAGCGGUGAAAUGCGUAGAGAUCGGGAGGAACACCAGUGGCGAAGGCGGCUUACUGGGCUUUUACUGACGCUGAGGCACGAAAGCAUGGGUAGCAAACAGGAUUAGAUACCCUGGUA
rnacentral:rRNA from 1 species